rnacentral:rRNA from 1 species
GACGAACGCUGGCGGCGUGCUUAACACAUGCAAGUCGAACGGAAAGGCGCUGCUUUUGUGUGGUGCUCGAGUGGCGAACGGGUGAGUAACACGUGAGUAACCUGCCCUUGACUGUGGGACAACUGCAGGAAACUGGUGCUAAUACCGGAUAGGAGCUCCUGCUGGAUGGGGGGGGUUGGAAAGUAUCGGCGGUGGGGGAUGGAGUCGCGGCUUAUCAGUUUGUUGGUGGGGUAGUGGCUUACCAAGGCUUUGACGGGUAGCCGGCCUGAGAGGGUGACCGGCCACAUUGGUACUGAGAUACGGCCCAGUCUCGUACGGGAGGCAACGGUGGGGAAUAUUACACAGUGGGCGGAAGCCUGAUGCAGCGACGCCGCGUGCGGGAUGACGGCCAUCGGGUUGUAAAGCGCUUUCGCCUGUGACGAAGCGUGAGUGACGGUAAUGGGUAAAGAAGCACCGGCUAACUACGUG